rnacentral:lncRNA from 1 species
GUACACAUUUAAAAUUUCAAACUCAGAUUCCAUUUGCUAAAAUAAUGACUCUAAAGUUUACGUAGACUGUGGUAUAUUUUUAUGUAGUCUCUUGUAUGUUUGCUAUGUGCUAUUCUGAUUCAUUAGGUAAGUUUGUUUUCUUUUCUUUUUAGUAGUCGUGAAAGAUGCCAAAUUGGCAGAGGCUCACGUUUCUUCUCUUUACACCAAACAGCAGAGAGAGAGCAUCACUGCCUGAAUUUGGCUUUGUGACUCUACGAGCAAGCCCGUCCUGUCCUGUCCUGUCUGGAGAUGACUGUUAACAUCCUGUCAUUUGGUUUGCCCUUUAUCAAUCUGAAUAGCUGUUUACUUGUACUGUGAUGACCAUUUUAUCUUUACAGUUCUGUACAAGUACAUCUGAGUCCAGAAGUGUACCAAGUGUGUGAUAUUUAUGACCUUACUCAUAGAUGUUUUCUCCCCUUUAUAGCAAUUUAACUUGUAAAACACCUUAAGAAGGAGCAAAGGCCUUUUAGCUUCCUUAUGAGAUGUAUUAUGUCUCAGGCAAACUGAGAAAUGUGUCUGUGAAAUCUAUAAAGCCAUGAGAGCAUUAAUUGAACAGUUUAGAAUGAAGAAAAUGAAUUAAAAAGUUAAACAUAAGUUUGGCUUUAAUUUUUUUUUAUUUUUAGGAUGUAUUUAUUGAAUUAGGAUAGCCACUGAAAAUAAUUUUGAACAGAGUGUAAAGUUCUUUUUACAUACUGUAAUUAGUUAUGUAUUUCUUGUGAGCAUCUUAAUUGAGGGGAUUGCCAGGACCAUUUUACUCCAGUGCAUUUUUUGUCAUUCUUAACUCCCAAAAACGAAGAAAAUAUUUUAUUUCUUUUCAAAUAAUAAAUGAUAACCUAUGGGUUCUAAAACUGAACA